GCCGCAGCAAAGAAAAAGGUACAGGUUGGAAGAGACCUUUAGAACAGCUGGUCCCUAGGCCGACCGGGUGUCCGCACUAAGUUUGGCAUCAAUAUGAUGUCCUCCUGGGAGCGGGGGGCCACCAAGUUGCCUAAGGAUGGCUGAACUGGCCCAGGUCAGAAAGGGAGUGGGUCAGAACUCCCGCAUCGACUGGUAGUGGGACUAUGCCUGAUCUUGGUUCUUAAAAGUAAAAAUAAAGAACAGCAGCUGCUCUCU
rnacentral:sRNA from 1 species